rnacentral:rRNA from 1 species
AGUGAACGCUGGCGGUAGGCCUAACACAUGCAAGUCGAACGGCAGCACAGUAAGAGCUUGCUCUUACGGGUGGCGAGUGGCGGACGGGUGAGGAAUACAUCGGAAUCUACUUUUUCGUGGGGGAUAACGUAGGGAAACUUACGCUAAUACCGCAUACGACCUACGGGUGAAAGCAGGGGAUCUUCUGACCUUGCGCGAUUGAAUGAGCCGAUGUCGGAUUAGCUAGUUGGCGGGGUAAAGGCCCACCAAGGCGACGAUCCGUAGCUGGUCUGAGAGGAUGAUCAGCCACACUGGAACUGAGACACGGUCCAGACUCCUACGGGAGGCAGCAGUGGGGAAUAUUGGACAAUGGGCGCAAGCCUGAUCCAGCCAUACCGCGUGGGUGAAGGAGGCCUUCGGGUUGGAAAGCCCUUUUGUUGGGAAAGAAAAGCAGCAGGUUAAUACCCCGCUGUUCUGACGGUACCCAAAGAAUAAGCACCGGCUAACUUCGUG